UAUUGACUGCGUGAAGGAUGGCAGUGGAAAUCCUUUUGUGUACGCAGUGCAAUAAAAGAUUGUAACGUACAGCCUGACCCGGC
rnacentral:sRNA from 1 species